AGUUGUUUUUAUUUCGUUGUCCCCGUGAAAGUUCCCGUGUUGUGUUUUUCUUUCUCCCGCGGCCGGUUCCGUUUGUGUUUACCCGUUGCGCUGUGUCCACCUCUGCCCAACAAAACUACGGUUGAAAAAUGAUCGAUCCACGUUAAACUCAUCGUAAUUUCAAUUGAAUCGACACCACUUGCCGAUCCUGUUCAAUAUAACGUGUUUUGAACAUCGUUUCCUAUCGGUUUAGUAUAUUGAAUCUUGUUUUAAAAUAAGAAAAGAAAAACCUUGUUGAGAUGUCAUACUGCAUCAGACGAUAUUCAGCGUAUCCAAACUGGACAGGAACAUCAACACAAGUUAGUUUACUAGAAAGGUAUACAAGUACAUCUAAAACGAGUGAACGCAGCCAGCACGGUCUCGAGGGGAAUGACAUAAGUUUACCGGCGGCCCAUUUUGUGCGGGUUUUGGUGUGAUUUAAUUUGUGAUUUGAAAAUUAAACAAGGUAUCCGCCACAUGCAUGCAAAAAUAAAUAAAUAAUGGUAAAAAUGUGAUAACUGGCUAAUUCUAAAAUGUGUUUUAUUUGUGUUCGUACAUUGCUUACAAUUUGGAGCUGAUACAACCCAAUAGCACCCUUCCAGACGUUUCCUACAAAAACAAUUCAUAGAGAUUUAACGUGUUUUUCAUUUUUAUUCUUUAUGUUCUACAAAUGCAUCGAACGUUUUGUUUUUUGACAUUUGGAACUGGAAUUACACGUUAUUCUACUAUGAAUUUCAACUAGUGAAAAUGUAUGUGUGUAACCAGUGGGAUGGGCGUGUAUAAUGUUUUCAGUGUAGACCGUUUGUUGUUAAUCUGCGAAAACGAUUCGAGAGAAAGCUAUAUUUUUUUUCCUGGAUUACUGUCGCACCGAACACUUCAUUGCGAACAUUGACGCCACAGAGAAACAGACGUCUCACUCUACACAUGUUCCAUCGUUCAUCUUUUUAGCGGUGGAUUCAAUUUUUUGUAGGUGGUCGAUCAGCCACCGAUGGCGCUUCCAUCGGUUUUACUUGUGUUUGACGUUUGCUCACUACCGCCACCUGGUUGCCGCUUGUCCAUCUACAGUGCAUUUAGAAUUGGGCGGUAAUGUUUUCGUGACGAUGAUUUUGAUUGCAUUUUGUUCUAAGAGAGACGUCUGUUUCUCUGUGUUGACGCCUUCCGAAGCCUUGGAAAUGGUCCUUUCUGGUGUCGCCAGCCCGCUAGAAUGUAACAUAUUUAUAAAAUAAUCAUAUAAAUACCUACCCAAACUACGUUAGCGUGAUUUAUAAACAUUCAUCCAUUAGUGAAAAUUGUUGACAGAUACCAAAACAAUCUAAAAUCCAAGGCUACUGCGAUGCAGAUAAAAAAUUAUGUACACAGCUUAUGUCA